rnacentral:tRNA from 1 species
GCCCCUGUAGCCCAACCGGCAGAGGCAGCGGACUUAAAAUCCGUUCAGUCCGGGUUCGAAUCCCGGCAGGGGCA